CGCGGGGUGGAGCAGUUCGGUAGCUCGUCGGGCUCAUAACCCGAAGGUCGCAGGUUCAAAUCCUGUCCCCGCAA
rfam:Bacillus vietnamensis strain TCD-SED5 scaffold_39, whole genome shotgun sequence.